CAAGUAACUAUGUUGAUGUGUUUCUGUCUCAUUUGCCUAGCAAGUUUCUUAAUCAUAAUUUUUAUAUUUUCUAUUUUCUUCACUGGAUGAUAAGCCCUUCUGUUGCUAACAAAUAUCCCUGCCCUUCUGCUAACAAAUAUCCCUCUGUCCCCUCAGAAGAUGAUUGUGCAAAGCUGCUCAUGGGAAUUCUGUGCAUUUCUAUUGGCACUGUUUUGAGUGCUAUCGCAAAGCAACCAGUCAGCUGCAUUUGGCAUCUGGAGUCUAAAAGGAAUGAUCUUGCACUUCCAAGUUACAACUUGGAGGUUCCAAACAGGUUGCCAGAAAAAAGGAAUGUGCAAUGGAGAUUGUUAAUAUGGACAUAUCCUAAGACACAGUGUACCUUUUGAUAAAAUAAAUACACUAGACUUUGACACGAAGGACAAUUAAUAGUGCCAUGAAUUACUGAGGACAGGUAAACUAAAAUUUACUUUCCUUCUAUUCUUUCAUUCAUUAAUAUAAUGUGUCUACUAAGGCCUGCUAUUACCUUCUUUCCAAACUUUGUUCUUGCCUGUUCAUUUAUAACUUUUCUUAUAUUCACACAAGGUUUUAUAAGAAAAAAGUGGAUAAAUGGGUGAUUGGUGAUCAAUGUUUACGACAGAACUCAAAAUGGCUUUUACGUUUGUAACUCUAGGCUCUUCACUGAUAGCAGACACAAAUUUUAGGGAAUGAAUUUGCUGUGACUCAUCUGUGUCAGUCUUGUAGUCAAGUUUGUUUGUGCUUAAUGCAUAAAGCGAGCUAAGUAUUAAUCUUUAAUAGUCAGAAAAGUCUGCGUGCAGUCUAAAGAAUUUGGGCUAUAAUAAGCAUGGAGCCUUUUAUUAGAGCAUCAGUGUGUGUUGAUGGGAGCAGAGUCUUGUAUUUUGUAUUUGUACAGAGGAAUACUGAAUUAUGAGAGAAAUCUAGGGUACAGACGAUCUUUCAGUCUGAUUUUUAACUUUGUUGCCUUUUUUGUACAAUCAUUAUUGUGGAAAGGGAAUUCUGAUGGCUACCAGCACUGGAAUGGGAAUUUUACCUUUUUGUUUUUCAUAUAGUUAAAUAGAUUGUGAAUCCUUUCAGAGGUUAAGAAUCAGUUUUGAUUUUUCUUUUUUUCUUGUAUUAGCAGUUUUUUGAGACUUUGUCCUACAAGCAAGUAUGCUAUUAAGUGAGAAUUAUUUUGUGUUUUGAGUUCCAUAACCAUCCAGGUCUUAAAAAAGCUUUCAAGAUUAAAAAAAACCCCAAACCUAACAAAAUUAGAAAUAAUGGUAUUAUAAAAAUAUCAGGAUUUUUUUCAGGUUGUUUUUUUUUUUUUUUUUCCUCCAAAGACAGUCUGUAUAAUUCAAGAAAGAACACUCUUUUCUUCUAAAGAAUAACUUAUUUUCUGUUUGGUAUUUUCAAAUGUGUAGAAAAUCACUUCAUCUAAGAGCAGUUUUUAGUAUGCCUUACAGUAGAAUGUUACUAUAUUUUGUCAUAACACUAGUAGAAAUUAAUGGGCAAUGACAGUUGUCAUGUUUUGGAGACUGCUGAGAAGUGUUUUGAGAAAGUUUUGGAUAUGUUGAUGCAGUACAAUUGGAGAACUUGUAAUGCUGGUGAUGACCUAAAUUAGAAUAUAUCUGCAUUGGUUGGUGUUCAUUUAGAGGCAAAUUAAAAAAAAAAUAGAAACUCUAAAAUUUUCAAAAUAAAUGUGAAAGCAUAGUGGAUGUAGACCUGUCUGAAUUGGUAUUUAGUCCUUCUUUCUCUUCCCUGUUGAAGAAAAAAGAUUUAAAACUAUCGUAGCACUCUAGAUAUUUGUUCUAUUAUUGCCACUUGUCUGCGAGAAUUCCUAUCUCCAACCUGUUUACCACCUGCAGGGUGGAAUUCUGCUUAUUUAUUUAUAUAUGUCUUAGAGCUUCAGAUGUUUGGUUGUUUGGUGGGUAUUUUUGGUUUGUUGGUUGGGUUUUGGUUUUUUGUUUUGAGGUUGGUUGGGUUAUUUUUGGGAUGGGUUUUUUUGGGUUUUCCUUGUUGUUGUGUUUUGGAAUUGUUUUUUUUUUUUUGUAUACUAUUUGCUGAGUAGUCAUACCAGGAACUUUUUUGGUUAAUAUAUAAAAUUACUCAAAUCAUAUGGCUGGAUAGGAAGUACCACUGUCAGUCUUAAAGAAAUAUUUUUUAAAAUACAUUUUGGGAUUGCUUUGUUGUACUGCAGAAGAGAACUGUUGUGUAUAGAAUAAAAUUAACAUUCCACAGACCUCUACUUGAAAUGUAUUGGUUUUUAUGCUUGAGAAAGCACAAAUGGCAUGCAUGGUGUUUAUAUGUUAAUUACCCAUACUGUUAUCUUCUGAAUACACUUAGAAAUUUACAGCCUUGUGUUUUGGGUUUGCACAGUAAGGUUUUGGUAGUGGAAGGGCUAGAGGGGGAGCUUCUGUGGGAAGCUGCCAGAAGCUCCUGCUGUGUCUGAUGGAGCUGAUGCCAUCAGGCUCCAGGACAGACGUGCCACUGAUCCAUCAGUGAUGGUGGUAGUGCCUCUGAGAUAACAUCUUUAAGAAAGGGAUGAAAAAACCCACCUGCACAGCAGGCAGCAACAGUGACAAGAAAGAAUAUGUGAAGGAAACAGCUCAGCAGACACCAAGGUCAGUAAAGAAUGAGAAGGAGGAGGUGUUCAGGUGCCAGAGCAG
rnacentral:lncRNA from 1 species